CGAGUGCGUCGAUUCUCUUUACCUCUGCCUCACGUGACUUUUCACAUCGAAGCAACGCACCCCGCACACACUCCCCGCUCGCCCAAGCAAGCAUCUAACACAGGUUACUCACACAGACAUCUGCCAUCGCGUAUCCACACACGCAGUCAUGCUGACGCUAACACUGGUGCGGCGCUCCGACGUCGGCGCAGCUGUGGCGUCUGCGAUGUACAAAGGCUACGUCUCCAAGCGUCAAAACAGCAGCGGCGCCUACUACACGGCGCGUCCUCGCACGAAGCCCGCGCCACUUUCGGCGCUGAGGCAUCCUGUCUCCACCCCCAGCAAGGCACAGCUGAAGGAGUUCAAGCGUUUCUACGAGGCCGUCACACGUUCGAGGGAGGCGACGAGUCUGCCGCCUACGCCGCUUGGCCAUGGCGGCAGCGAGCGUAUCCUCAACAACGAGCUCCUGCACCAAUGCCCGUGGCAGGCGAGCUGCGUGGAGCUGCGGGAGCGCGCCGUAGAGCCGGAAAGGAAGGUGCUCAGCUACGGCAACGUCGACUUUGCGAGCCUGCGCAAGCAGUCACGCCGCAACGCCGCUGCGGCCGAUGGGACGAGCAAGACCACUAGCUCAUCGCCGUAUGGUUCCUACUCGAACGUGGAGGACAUGCUUGAUAAGCCCAGCGGAGAGUCGGUGCAGCAGCGGCAGCAGGGCCCCGGGCUCGACGUCGUCCACUACUACGAGACCUCCACCCCAGAAGGCUUGGCCGGGUAUCAGCAGAUUACGAUGCAGGUGCGGAAGGGGAAGUUGCCCGGGUCCUGCACCAACUUUUCGGCCGAGGGCGGGUUCGCCGUGUGGGUCGUGCCACACAACGAGUACAUAGAGACUCUGAGCGCGAUGGGCUACCUCCCCGAGUAACAUCUGUGGAUGAGGUCACGUGCGGCGGAAUCGGCGACUAGGAGACGGGGAUGGGCCAGGAUAGGGAGAGAGAAGUAGAGUGGCAAGUCGGCAGGUGGCCGGUCGAUGGGCGACAGAAAAUGGGCCAGCGAGCCACUGUGUGCACCUCAGCACACGUGCUCGUCCGUCGCGCUGUCGUGGAGGUGCAGGACGACCUCCUCGCCUUCCUUGUAGAUCUAUGUGAUGCGCUGCUGCCAUCUCCUCCACUCCUUUCUCCGUGUGCCUAUGUGCCUGAGUGUAUGCGCAGCAGAUGCAACUCAAACGCUUGUGUUUGCGUCUCAUGCGAUUACAUAGCUACAGGCACAGCCUCAGUGCAGUCUGCCGCAGUUGUGUCUGUGUGUACGCCGUGUUUUCUGUCUGCUGAUCUUCUCGGCCCUCUCUCCAUCUCUGUUGUUUUGGUGGUUGGCGGCGUUCGCACUGCCGCCUCCGGUGUGUGUGCGCGUAAGUCCGUUUUUCAUCGGGUUUUAUCGCUCCCGUCGUUAUGCGUGUCGGUGUGCGUGCGUGCGUGCUCCUCUCCCCUCCCCCAGAAUGCUGCCUCAUCUUGUGUGCUCGAUGUUGUACACACCGACACAUAUACACGUGUCCUCUUUCUCUUGUUCUUUCCACGAUUUGCUUUCUUCAUCCGACUAGUUGUGCAGGCCGCCUCUUUUCUCAUCGCACGCCACCGCCGCUGUCUCUUCGUGGUCUCCUCUGUGGCACAAAUGUGUGCGUACGUGUCGUCUCUCUCCCUCUCUGGGUAUACGCAUUCUUUUCUUUUCUCGCUUACUCGCCUCUGUCCCCCAACUCGUUGGCCACACCCCCUCUCUGUGUCUCCAGCGCUCACGCACACACGCACGCACGCAGGAAGGCCGCCACAGCAGCGGCGCAUGCGCGCAUCAGUCUCACGCUUCAGAACACGCUAGCGCCAUGCUGUGUUUCUAUCUGUGUGCGAGUGUGCCACUGCGUGUGAUGUUCGAGAACAGGUGUCUUCCACCGCUCCACAUCUCUUCCCUUAAAGUCGAUGGUGCACAUGAAGAGCUCUGCACUAGACAGCGGUACACCCACCGCACUGAGGGUGGGGCGGAGGAGCGACGAGACGAAGAAGGGACGUCACUCCGGUGCGGCGGAUGGGCGGAGUAGGGGGCAAGCAGGGUGGUGGUGGUGGUUGGCCGACAUGCGGGAGGUAAGCAAGGUGAUCGAAAAGAGUGCAGAGGAGAGCGUAUUGCCUGCUGGCUGCUGCUGUUGUAUGCCAAACGAAGCAAAAUCUGUGUGGUGAGAUGUGGAAUACAUGUGUGCGUGUACAAGUGCGGCGACACACGCACACAAGGCAUCGGCUUAUACCCUUUCUCUUAGGUGAUUUCUAUAGUGUUGUCACUUGUCCCUGCGGGCUUCGACAGUCGUUGCGUUGCUCUGCCCCCCCCCUCCCCGUGCGUAUGUGUGCGUUUUUUCGGAUUGCAUUUUCAAAUUUUCUUUUUUUUUUCGACUCGAGUUUUCUUCCUUGUUUUUUAUCCCUCUCGCUGUACAUCCUCCCUCCCCGUCGUGGAUCCUGUCGUUGCCUUCGCACAACCGCUGCGCGUCCCUGCGCGCGUGAUGAAUGCUAGAUGUGCCUCUGUGCAGCUGUCUUCGUUUUCGGACUUGCCUUCUUCUGGCUCUCAAACUUCAUAAUGCUGCACUUUUCCUCCUCUCGUGUGCGCUCACACGUGUUGCACGUGUGCAUGUGCAUAUCUCAUGAUCCGGAAGCGGUGUCGAAUAUCUCGGAGGUUGGAAGAGGGGUGGAGGAGAGUUGCUCACAUCAUAGGGACUGUGUUGUAUCAACUUCAACACCUCCUCUUCCUCGUGCGGCUCUUUGAUAUUUUCUGAGUCUUCCUUCUCUUAUCCUUCGCUCCGCUCUCUUUCUCUCCGUGUGCAUGUACGGGUGUGCGAUUGUGUGAGGCUUCACCACUGGCCUUCUUCACCCCACGCACCGCCCUCGCCUCACCGCGGCCCGGCCCCCUAAUCCACCCCUCUUUUCGGCGUAUUCUCACCCUCUUCUUCAUGGUCUAACCGCCAUUUGGGGGCUUUGUUUCGUCUUCCUUCCCUUCUUGUCUCCGUAGGUGUGUGUGUGUAUGCGUGCUGCACUUCCCCCUCUCUCUUUCUCUGUUGGAACGGGUGGCGCUUGUUGUUGGUGCGCUGCUCUCUUCCUCUGUUGUGGUUGCCGGUUUUUAAGUCUGUGAGCGUUUCCAUCAUGUGCUUUCCUGCUCUCUCGGGUCUCUCACCGACUAUCGAGGUCCCUCCCCCCUCAGACAGGCACAUGCAUGUCUGCCGUCCCUCUUCUCUUCUGCCACCUUCACCACAUCGAAGGAUGCAUCGAUCUUGCUUUUGUGUUUCUAUUCCAUGUACCCCCACACACAUGCCCAUCUUUCUCACUCGUGCUCUUCUCUAUGUGCGAUGCGGCCACCACCACCACCACCGCCGCCGCCGCAGCUGCUGUGAUGACGAUGAUGAUGGGGGGGGGCGUACGCCAAACGGCAGCGAGAAAAGCAGAACCCUCGGUGGCGGCGUCAGGACAGCAACGAGGGCGAGGCGGUGGCUCAAGAAGCAUGUGCGUGCAGGCAUGCCUGCAUAUAUGGUUGCGGUCUGUUCUCUCUCUGUGAGACUCUCUUCUUCUCCAGCUUUACCUGUGUUGUGCCGCAAUCGUGCGCCCAUACGGAUCCUUGCGUGUGUGCGUGCGCGUGAUGCAGACGCACCCGCGAACACGAACGCAAGCGCACACACGCGCCACAACUCUCCCAUCUCAGUGAUUUCUUCACCUUCUCUCCCUCUGUCUUCUUUUCGCUCAUCACUCUCAUCCCUGUUGUACACCCUUUCCGUCCCCCCCUCCCUCUCUCUUCUGUCCUGUCCGUGUUGGCGUGUGUGUGCAUGUGCGUCUGGGCGUGUGUCUCUCAAUGUAUGUUUCGUGUGCGAUGUAUACGUGUCUAUCUCUGUCACUGGAGCACACACAUAGACACAUGCACAUGUGCACCAUAAUAUGCCGUACAUAAUAUAUGCACAUCGACUCUUUUCAGAUGCAGUCUUUGACUUCUCUCAUUUUUUUUGUCUUCCUCUCAAUUCCAGUUUCUGUGUGCUUUCCUUCUUCAUCCGCAAUCCUAUUUCGUAUUGGUUGGCGUUGAUGUCGCCGGUCGGAGCAUGUUCGGCCGUACUCAAGUUCUUUGCGCGAUACCCCAUUGUCUGCCCUCCUCUACCCCUCUUCCUGUCUCACUCUCUCCCCACAGACUCACAGACAUGCAUAUGCAGCAAGUGGAGGCAGUCUUGUAAGCUCUCUGCCACCUUUUCUUUUCGUCCCUCUUGACUGCUUCCCUCCUUUCCUUCCUGGCUCCCUCGUGUCGUGCUGUAUUGACCUCCUCACGUCACGUUUUGCGUCCGUGUCCAGUCUUCUGCCGGCCCACGGGCUCACGAGAGACUGAGGAAGAGAGAGGAGCCGGCAGAUGUGCGCGCAAGGCGCAAGAAUGAUGUGUGCUACGUGGAAAGGUGGACGCCGGCGCCCAGGCCAGCGCGUGCAUGCGCGAGCAGGGGGUGAGGUAGAGGAGAGAAAGGGUGAUGUUACGGAGGUGUUGCGCGAGUGUGCGGGAGCGCGUGGCUGAUGAGCUGUGCAGCUCAUUCUACAGUCCCUCCCUCCCAAAACACUUGUCAAGGCAUGCGCACGAUGACACUUCCAUCUCUUUCCCUCUCUCGGGAACGCUGACGCGCCCUGCCUCGCAGUCAUUUCUGAUGCGCUCUUCUCGCGCCCCCAUCUCUUCUCUAAAUUUCCGUCGUGGUUUCUUUCUUAUCCCACUUCGUCUUACGCCGUGAAUUCGUGUGCGUGUGCGAAGUGCUGUGGUGGGCAGCUGAGACGGAUGUGCUUCUUGUUGUUUUCUCCAAACACUCCUACAUGAGGCGGAGAGAGGAGUCAACGUCACGCCAGGCAUGCGUGCACGCGCUUAUGCGCCGAUGUGUGAGCGGCUUUUGCGUGUCACUGGAUGCAUACCCGCACAAGCUUUCCUACGCCGCCGCUACCCGCUGCUUUCUCUCGCUCCGUCUCGCACGUAAGCACUUGCUGGACCGCCGCUCUUUUCUCGUUGGCCUCCACCGUCAUUUCGUGUUUCUCUUUUCGCUGGUCUUUUUUUUCGGUCGAUUCACUUCAUCUCUCUCUGUGUGGGCGUGUCUGUCCUUCGCUCUGUAGGACGAUGAUGACGCGCGUGUGCGCGCCGGCGGGUGUCUAUGCGCUCUUGUUCUCUUGCACUUUCUCCUCGGCUUUGUUGUGUUUAUGCGAGGGUAGUGACGUGGGAUGUCUACCACGGUUGUCGGCGUUGAGUGUGUGUGCCCGCGUCGUCCCUCACCCCACCACCCCCUGCCCACUUUGGAUCUCAGCUGCCCUCGGGCGGCAUUUCUUCUGACUUUCUUUUUUUUUUUGGUCUUCUACGAUUCCGCUUCGUCUCCAGCGCGCGCCUGUGCGCACCUGCGUGGUUCUCUGACUGUGCACAUGCCGACACAC
rnacentral:misc_RNA from 1 species